rnacentral:lncRNA from 1 species
AUCGUUUUCAUUAUUGCAGCUCCUUCCUCAUUAUGAAAAAUGGAAAUUAUUUCAAAUCGUUUCAAGUCAAGUUAUUCAAAUUUCACAUAAAAAGGAGAAGCAUUGAAUCCUACUGUGGACUGAAUGACCACAAUUUUCAUACAAGUAUAGCCCCAGCCAGGAUUCUAAAUUUGGCUUCACAGAUUUAAUUAAAAUGUGCAGACUUCCUUUCACAAUGAACUGAUGGGGGCCAGAAUCCUAGUGUACAGCUCAUCAUGAAAAUGAGGGUUGUUAUGAUGGUGAACACAUUUUAUGGAAUGCUCAUUUAUUUCGUUAUAAUAAAACCCCCCAAAAUGUGCACUGUAUAUUUCACCGUGUAGAUACAAGAAGGAAAGGAAGGAAACCCUGGGUUUUAUUCCCUAGGUGUUCUCAUUGCUUUUAGAGAAACGCUAGUAAAUGACACUCAAGAAUCUCAUGAACAAGUAGGAUGGAUAGGACUGGUAAACCAUUUUUUUGGCAGGCUGAUACUGCAAAUGGUUUCUGCUUUCUGCCAUUGUGACCAUUGUUUAUUUUCAGCUUUCAUUCUUUCUGGCUCUCUUUUACCCAUCCCAUCCCUCUACCGCUAUGAUGACUCUCUGUCUCUCCAGGAGUUAUCCCUCCUAGCACAGUCCUGCUUUCCCUGCCCUCUGAACUCCAUACUCCACGGAUCCACUCCUUCCCAUUUGUUGCUCUUAAUGUUCUUCCUGUGCUUUUUCUUUGCCCUGCAGAAGGAGCAGAAUGGUUCCCUGUCCAAGGCACAGCCCUUCCCUGCACCAGGAGCUAAGCCAACACAGAGCACACCGGGGUGGGGUGAUGUAGUGAGCACUGCCUCCUGUCCUCAGCAGGACAAUUUGCCCGGCUCCUCUCAGGAAGACAAAGCUUGCAGGGGGAUGUCUGCAGGUUUUCUGCUUCUAACACUUCUCUCACCUGGAAAUGAUGGAUCAUUCACACCAUUGUCUUGCUGA